rnacentral:tRNA from 1 species
ACUUUCAAUGGACAAAAGUCGUCCAAUGGCCUUAGGAGCCCAACUCU